rnacentral:rRNA from 1 species
UACGAAGGGGGCUAGCGUUGUUCGGAAUUACUGGGCGUAAAGCGUGCGCAGGCGGCUUCUCAAGUCAGGGGUGAAAGCCCAGAGCUCAACUCUGGAAUUGCCUUUGAGACUGAGUGGCUUGAGUACGAGAGAGGUGAGUGGAAUUCCCAGUGUAGAGGUGAAAUUCGUAGAUAUUGGGAAGAACACCAGUGGCGAAGGCGGCUCACUGGACCGGCAUUGACGCUGAGGUGGCGAAA